rnacentral:rRNA from 1 species
GAUGAACGCUAGCGGUGUGCUUAAUGCAUGCAAGUCGAACGGGAUCCCAUGGAUUCGUCCAGGGUGAGAGUGGCGGACGGGUGAGUAACGCGUUGGUGACCUGCCUCGGAGAGGGGGACAACCAUUGGGAAACGAUGGCUAAUACCCCGGAUGUUAUCGAGUUUAGAAAUCGAUAACUAAAGCUCUGGCGCUCCGAGAGGGGCCAGCGUCCCAUCAGCUUGUUGGUAAGGUAACGGCUUACCAAGGCUCAGACGGGUAGGGGGCGUGAGAGCGUGACCCCCCCACACUGGUACGUGAAACAACGGACCGAGAUACCUACGGGUAGGCACGCAGCAAGGAAUAUUUGCGCAAUAGGGCGG